UACGGUCACAUCCCACUGAAAGACCAGCUCCCAUGUGAUCACCAAAUUUAAGCAACGUUGAGCCUGGUUAAUACCUAGAUGAGUGAUUACUUGGGAAUACCAGGUGCUGUAAG